rnacentral:rRNA from 1 species
AACGUAGGUGGCAAGCGUUGUCCGGAAUUACUGGGUGUAAAGGGAGCGCAGGCGGAAUGGCAAGUUGGGUGUGAAAUCCCGGGGCUCAACCCCGGAACUGCACUCAAAACUGCUGUUCUUGAGUGAUGUAGAGGCAGGCGGAAUUCCCGGUGUAGCGGUGGAACGCGUAGAUAUCGGGAGGAACACCAGUGGCGAAGGCGGCCUGCUGGGCAUCAACUGACGCUGAGGCUCGAAAGUGUGGGGAGCAAACAGG